UCAAGACCUCCGACUGGGACGAAAGUUCACCAUCCAACAGGACAAUAACCCUAAGCACAAAGUCAUUUGGUCUAAAUUCUUUCUGAAUGCACUGUACAUGACAGCUUUCUGACCAUUAGUGACUCACCACCCUGGCCUGUACUGAGCUCAAAGCCAGUGUUAUGGGAAUUUGUGGAACACACUCGUUGUUUUUAGAUUUAUGAGAAAGGCGGUUUUGUUAAUGUCUCAUUUAAUAGUUUCUUUGCUCUGUCCACAGUGAGAACAAACCAAAGAAUGGAGGCAUAUGUGUGUUCAAUCACAACUGCAAUUGACAUCAUCCUGGCCAAUGACGGCUGCUUUUCUAUGGUUGGCCAGAUAGAUGGUGGUCUGCCUGAGGUUGUCCAGAGAGCCAUGGUGAAAUCCAGCCCCCACAUUUGGUUUGAGAUAUCUGAAGUCAGACUGACACCUUGUGGCCAAAAGGUUGAGCAACCAUGUUGCAGACAACUCAACACCCCGUCCUCAUCUUCCCAGAGGUUUAGUAUGGACACUUUUCUGAUGGAUUGAGACUGAGUGAAGGCUGUACUAUAAAUUAAAUCAAAUCAAAUAGAAUUAGUCACAUGUGCCGAAUACAACCG